rnacentral:lncRNA from 1 species
GGCUCCGGCAGCCUAGGGUGGAGGGUGGCGGUAAGAGCAGGUCACCCAGGCUUGGUACGGGUGGCCCCGUCUCCACUCCACACUGCACAAGCCGCCGGGUCCCCACGAGGCACCCUGGGCGAUGGCUCUGCGGCAUCUGGACCACGCACUCCGUCCUCUCGGAGCCUCGGUUUCUCCUGCGCGGCAUUAGGAGCAGAGCAGCACCUUCCUGCCCACCUCGCGGGGUGCUGUGAGCUGACACCUUGACGGCCUUUGAAAAGCAUCAAACAAAUGUGCAAAUACCGAGUAAUAUCACUGGGAAAGUAGGUUUAGUCUUCUGGGGUGGAAGGUGGGGGGCGUUGAUGAUCAGUGUCCUACAAAUAAGUCGUUGAAAAUGAACGUGAAUGCAGUUAAACUCAAGAGAGGAAAAGGAGAAAAGUAUCCUGAGCUUGUCUGAAGCUGCUCCUCGGUGUGAAAUGAAGCUGCGAGGUCCGGCUCCGCGGAGGUAACUUGCUCAGAGCAGCGGCGAAGGAAGGACCCGGAGAUCCCAGCUCUGGCCCCGGACAUCCCAGCUCUGGCCCCGGACAGCAGCGCGAGAGGCUCUCCAGCCAAGAUGCUGCGACUGAGGAUUGUUGCUGCAGGCAGCUGGCCUGUCUUUCCUUGAUUCCGUUCUGCUGUGGUUACCUGUUUUUUAGAAGUUGCUGGAAGUACAUGUCUCUCCUCCCCCUAAGAGUGCGAGUUGUGCUAGCUUUGCAUCUAGAAUCAGUUCUCAGUUUCUCCAGAUGGAUUCUUCACUGCUGACAAUGCUACGUAAAUCAUAAUGGAGUUUACCAACAUAACAGAGGCAACUUGUAAAAUGAUCCCAAUUGUGCCUAUCUCAUCACAGCUAUAUGAGGAAUACAUAAGGUAAUGCACAUUUAUUUUUUCACUUUUUCAGUGUUUAUUGAUGGUUCCUAUAUAUUAGACACUGUGGUUGCUAGGCAGUUGUAAAGAAUAUGUAAAAACCUUUUGUAAAUUAUAAAACUUUUAUAUAAAAAUCUUUGGUAAAUUAGAAGAUGUCAUUCAUUUCUUUCCUCAACUUCAUCUCUUCCUAUCUACACACACCCACAUUUGCACUACAAUGUACCUACAACUAAUAUUAUACUCUGAUGCCUUUGUUUAAACUGUAAUAUACGGCAGCC